rnacentral:rRNA from 1 species
UACGUAGGCAGCGAGCGUUGUUCGGAGUUACUGGGCGUAAAGGGUGUGUAGGCGGUUGUUUAAGUUUGGUGUGAAAUCUCCCGGCUCAACUGGGAGGGUGCGCCGAAUACUGAAUGACUAGAGUGCGGGAGAAGAAAGUGGAAUUCCUGGUGUAGCGGUGAAAUGCGUAGAUAUCAGGAGGAACACCGGUGGUGUAGACGGCUUCUGGACCGUAACUGACGCUGAGACACGAAAGCGUGGGUAGCAAACAGG